AAGGAUAGGAAAUAAGUGGAUCAUACCCACUUUUAACAUACGAAGUGGAAUAAGGGAGGACUGGAUAGUGGAUACCCAGAGCAAUAAGCCCAAUUUGAUAAAGGAUUUGAAUUUGAACGGGAUGGGCCAAUAAGAUAGAGAUCCAACAGUCAGGCCCAAUCUGAUAAGAUAUUCAAAGGUCAUCCAAACGCAUUCCACUUUAAUUCUCAUUAUUACUGACAUUAAAUGCGCCGGCCUCGCUCCACGUGUAACCGUCAGUAUAAAAGAUAAACCUCACCAAAAUUGACGGUUUUACCUACUGAUUUGAAAUUCGAACCUUUGAGCUUUCUUCCUUCUCUCAGAAAAACCUCUCUUUAGCUUUCACAAACUCAACAAUGGUGAAUCCAAGCCAAACCCCUUCAAGUUCUUCUCGUUCAAACCCUAACCAAGGGGGUUCAAGUGCCAAUCCACCAUCUCCCACUGAUUUCUUCAAGGAUGGGGAACAAUUUCCUCAUGCCAACAUCACCUCCACCGUUUCUGAAUCUGAACUGCGAACUCUCCGGAUUCGGUAUCAUGUUCCGGAUAACUUUGCUAUGAGGGCUCCAUCUGCUGAGGAG
rnacentral:lncRNA from 1 species